rfam:Brachypodium distachyon strain Bd21 chromosome 5, whole genome shotgun sequence.
UGAAUACUCCCUCCGAUCCAUAUUAAUUGUUGACAUAUUACAUGUAUCUAGACGCUUUUUAGGCAUAGAUACAUCCAUAUUUGGGCAACUUUGUGACAAUUAAUAUGGAUCGGAGGGAGUUUUUA